UGGGAUAAUAUACUGUUGCUGCUUUAUCACUUACGCUGCUGCGCAGGAUUAGCUGAGAGGUCUAAGACGCUGCCGUCAUGGACUGUGCGGCUGGUCCCGGUGGAGGUGGGCAAAAUGCUGUUCAGGCAGAAUGACUGUACAGAAGACGAUUCCCUGACAAGCCAUCGCCUUAGCGCCGGAUGUUUGGUCGUCUCACAUCUCGUCUACGUGAAAUGGGAAGCUUAAAUCCAAGACCUCGACAUCAUCCUAGAACACGCACAGAUGAAUGUGUUGAAGUUGUGUGCUUGCUACCAUAGCUGUGAAUCCUCAAAUCAACACAUGUCAAAUUGAACAUGAAGUUGGUGUGUUGAAAUCAAGUGCACAGCGUAUUCUUAAACGUCAUAAAUUUCAUCCUUACUAUGUUCAUUUACACCAGGAUCUUCAUGAAAAUGAUGUCCGCAAUAGGGUAACAUUUUGUCGGUGGGCUUAGCAAAAACUUCUGACAAAUCCAAAUUUUUUUGCAGAUGUUCUCUUUACCGACGAGGCAUCAUUCUGCAACAAAGGAAUUGUCAAUAUGGGGAAUAUGCAUUAUUGGUCCACAGACAAUCCAAAAUGGCUCCGUCAGGUAGAGCAUCAACGUGUGUGGAAAGUUAAUGUUUGGUGUGGGAUUGGAGAAUGGUCAUGUGGUAUCAGCAUGAUGGAUACCCUGCACAUAACACCUUACGAGCAUGACAACUUCUGAACCGUAAGUUCCCUGGUAGGUGGAUUGGACGAGGUGGCCCAGUUGGGUGGCCUGCCCGAUCUCCGGACCUUACACCACUGGAUUAUUUUCUUUGGAGAGCAGUGAAGGAUGCUGUUUACCAACAUGAACCAACAACACCAGAGGACAUGAAGCAAUGCAUUAUUGAUGCUUGUAGAGCCAUCAAAGAGGAAACAGUAGCACAAAGUAGUGCAUCCUUCAUCCGCAGAGUGACCCUAUGUAUGCAAGCCAAUGGGCAUCACUUUGAGCAUGAGAUGUAAACGCUGUGUUUAGUAUGUAGUGCUGGUAUCACAGUGGAAGUUUCUACAAAGGGCCAUUUUAUCCAGUGAUGUUAAGAAACAUUUGUUUGCAACAAUUUGUCAUUUAAAGCAUUAGAUAAACAUAACAUUGCUAAUUAUGUGAUAAUAAAACUAAUUGGUUAAACGUG